rnacentral:rRNA from 1 species
CUUAGUACGGCGAGUGAAGCGGCAAAAGCUCAAAUUUGAAAUCUGGUACCUUCGGUGCCCGAGUUGUAAUUUGGAGAGGGCAACUUUGGGGCCGUUCCUUGUCUAUGUUCCUUGGAACAGGACGUCAUAGAGGGUGAGAAUCCCGUGUGGCGAGGAGUGCGGUUCUUUGUAAAGUGCCUUCGAAGAGUCGAGUUGUUUGGGAAUGCAGCUCUAAGUGGGUGGUAAAUUCCAUCUAAAGCUAAAUAUUGGCGAGAGACCGAUAGCGAACAAGUACAGUGAUGGAAAGAUGAAAAGAACUUUGAAAAGAGAGUGAAAAAGUACGUGAAAUUGUUGAAAGGGAAGGGCAUUUGAUCAGACAUGGUGUUUUGUGCCCUCUGCUCCUUGUGGGUAGGGGAAUCUCGCAUUUCACUGGGCCAGCAUCAGUUUUGGUGGCAGGAUAAAUCCAUAGGAAUGUAGCUUGCCUCGGUAAGUAUUAUAGCCUGUGGGAAUACUGCCAGCUGGGACUGAGGACUGCGACGUAAGUCAAGGAUGCUGGCAUAAUGGUUAUAUGCCGCCCGUCUUGAAACACGGACCAAA